rnacentral:rRNA from 1 species
UACAGAGGGUGCGAGCGUUAAUCGGAUUUACUGGGCGUAAAGCGUACGUAGGCGGCUUUUUAAGUCGGAUGUGAAAUCCCUGAGCUUAACUUAGGAAUUGCAUUCGAUACUGGGAAGCUAGAGUAUGGGAGAGGAUGGUAGAAUUCCAGGUGUAGCGGUGAAAUGCGUAGAGAUCUGGAGGAAUACCGAUGGCGAAGGCGGCCCCCCUGGAUUGACACUGACGCUGAGGUGCGAAAGCGUGGGUAGCAAACAGG